GAGGGCAUAGCUCAGUGGUAGAGUGCAUGCCUAGCAUGCACAAGGUCCUGGGUUCAAUUCCCAGCACCUCCA
rnacentral:tRNA from 1 species